UACGUAGGGGGCAAGCGUUGUCCGGAAUCAUUGGGCGUAAAGCGCGUGUAGGCGGCCAGAAAAGUCCGCUGUGAAAUCUCGGGGCUCAACCCCGAGCGGUCGUGAGAAACUGGCAGGCUAGAGUGCGGGAGAGGAGAGUGGAAUUCCUGGUGUAGCGGUGAAAUGCGCAGAUAUCAGGAGGAACACCGGUGGCGAAGGCGGCAUCCUGGACCAAUAUUGACGCUGAGGAGCGAAAGCCAGGGGAGCAAACGGG
rnacentral:rRNA from 1 species